rnacentral:lncRNA from 1 species
UGCUGGAAUUUAGGCAUUUAUAAAUGCACUUCUUUACAUGUAACACAUUACAGGUGUUCAAAUAUGGUGUGUAAAAAUGAAAACAAUUGUUUUAUUUACAGACAAAAAUAUGCAUAAACCAGCAACUAUUCAGCUGUGUUUCUUCUGUUCAUGAUACUAGUUUGGCAGUGUUUUGAAUUUAAUAUGUUCUACUUCAAACACAUGUUCAAUUAUCAAGUAAACUACUGGUAAGCAAUGAAACAAACUGAUAUUUACAUGUAAGUACAAUGUAAAACUGUCUUUAAUUUUCAAGUCAUAUACAAAACAAUGAAGAAUUCUUGGUAAAGUAAAACUCUUCAUUUCUUUUAAUUAGCUGAUUGAUUAAAUGUAUUUAUCUUCUGUGUAGGAUAAAAGGAGGCAUAGUGUAUUCUAUUCAGUCAGUACUAUAAAACAUGUUUUGAUCAAGUAAUUUUAUAUACAUGAAUGUGAUUUCCAUGAAGCUGUGGCCACAUCAACUUGAAACAUACAUGACAAAGAACAAUGUACACAUGAUCGUUAUACAUGUAUUUAAUGUAAAUUUUAAAAAAUACACUGUAUAUGUAUAUAUGCCAAAUUUGGACCCAGAUUUGCAGUUCCCUAUUUUAAACAAUAGUGUGAAUUCAGAAAUUAUUGCGGUCUUUCAAGAAUGGACAAAAAUGGACUCUUUAAAUGAAGGCUGAAAACUCUGAAUAAAUAUUCCAUCAUCAAAUUGAAUAAUGAAAAUGUGAUGAUUUUUCUUUGACCACCUCAAAAAUGUAGUCAUGUAGUAAUAACAUUCUGAUAUUAAUUUAAAUGAAAAAAAAGUAGAAUGUGUAUGAGGAGUCAAGUAAUUUUUUUAGAUUAAAUGGGAAAUAACUCUAAUAGAACGGUAAGUGACUAACUGCCAAAAUUAAAACUGUCUGCGAGGUAAAUAGUUCUAAACAUUGAGUUUCAUAAAAUUUGGAAUAGGAAAUCUAGAGUGGAAAUAAAUAUGGGACUGAUGGACAUUUAAUGCUCCCUUAAAAAAUAAAUUGUACACUACAUACUGGUAUGUACAUGUACAUACUCAAUUGAUCAGAACAUCAUGACUGGUUUUAAUACCAUCUGGAUUGUAACUUUGUACAUUGUACUAUUAGUUGACAAUUUAUUUUAAUUAACUAACAUCAGUAACAUGACUAAUUCUAUUUGGCCAGGCUAUUUAAAUCAAUCAAUUUGAAAGAAAUAAUCUUAAUACUCAUUAUUCCAAAUAUUAAGUAUUCAGAAAUUAUUGCAUGCAUUUUUUAUUACGAUUUUGUCAUUGUUAUAUAAUUAAUUCACAAAAAUGAUUCAUAUGAAAAAAAAUUCAUUUGAAUUUUAAAUUAUUGCGAUUUUAUCCCUGUAGCAUUUUUCACAAUAAUAAAAAUAUCGCAAUAAUUACUGAAUGUAUGUUUCUUUCCCUUAAUGUCAUGUGCCUGCACAACACCGUGAUCAUAUCAUUAAUAUACAUGAAUAUGUUAUGUAAAACCAACAGAUUGAAAUUUAAUAGUGAUGGCUCAGGCAAAAUAAAAAAAGGUGUGUGUUCCCUAUUACUCUACCAGUCAGGGGACUUACUUAAACAAGUGAUUUUCUAAAUCACUGAUUCAAGUAACAUUAUUUCCAUAAAGGUUGGAAGUUAGAGUUGUCUUUCUUUAAUAAUCACCUAUUUAAGUAGUACAAAUUAAUCACUAGAAGAAGUGAUUUAAUAUUAGUGUAGCUUUAAAUAUAGAAUACUAAUGGUCCAGGGACUAAUUAUGUUUCUAAACUUAUCAGAACCAACAUCUGUGUUGUCUAGGAUGACCAGGUCAUUUCAGGUGAUGACCUUGUACUGAAUCUAGGAUAAUGACAUAAAAAUCACUUGUUUAAGUAUCAGACCUCAAUUUCCUUCCCAAAAUCACUUCUUUAAGUAUCAUUCUUUUAAUAACCCCCACUUAUUUCAACACCCCCGAACAGUGAAAUUUUUA